rnacentral:rRNA from 1 species
UAAUGCAUCGGGAUCUACCCAAACGUGGGGGAUAACNUAGGGAAACUUACGCUAAUACCGCAUACNUGUUACGAGAGAAAGCACGGGACCUUCGGGCCUUGCGCGGUUGGACGAACCGAUGUGCGAUUAGCUAGUUGGUAGGGUAAUGGCCUACCAAGGCGACGAUCGCUAGCUGGUCUGAGAGGAUGAUCACCCACACUGGAACUGAGACACGGUUCAUACUCCUACGGGAGGCAGCANUGGGGAAUAUUGGACAAUGGGCGCAAGCCUGAUCCAGCAAUGCCGCGUGUGUGAAGAAGGCCUUCUGGUUGUAAAGCACUUUUAUCAGGAGCGAAAUACUACCUGCUAAUAUCCGGUGGGGCUGACUGUACCUGAGGAAUAAGCACCGGCUAACUUCGUGCCAGCAGCCGUGGUAAUACGAAGGGUGCAAGCGUUAAUCAGAAUUACUGGGCGUAAAGCGUGCGUAGGCGGUUAUUUAAGUCUGAUGUGAAAUCCUCAGGCUCAACCUGGGAAUGGCAAUGGAUACUGGAUAGCUAGAGUGUGAUAGAGGAUGGUGGAAUUCCCGGUGUAGCGGUGAAAUGCGUUUAGAUCGGGAGGAACAUCAAUGGCGAAGGCGGCCAUCUGGAUCAACACUGACGCUGAGGCACGAAAGCGUGGGGAGCAAACAGGAUUAGAUACCCUGGUAGUCCACGCCCUAAACGAUGCGAACUGGAUGUUGGUCUCAACUCGGAGAUCAGUGUCAAAGCUAACGCGUUAAGUUCCCCGCCUGGGGAGUACGGUCCCCCGACUUAAACUCAAAGGAAUUUACGGGGGCCCGCACAAGCGGUGGAGUAUGUGGUUUAAUU